rnacentral:rRNA from 1 species
AGUGAACGCUGGCGGUAGGCCUAACACAUGCAAGUCGAACGGCAGCACAGUAAGAGCUUGCUCUUACGGGUGGCGAGUGGCGGACGGGUGAGGAAUACAUCGGAAUCUACUUUUUCGUGGGGGCUAACGUAGGGAAACUUACGCUAAUACUGCAUACGACCUACGGGUGAAAGCAGGGGAUCUUCGGACCUUGCGCGAUUGAAUGAGCCGAUGUCGGAUUAGCUAGUUGGCGGGGUAAAGGCCCACCAAGGCGACGAUCCGUAGCUGGUCUGAGAGGAUGAUCAGCCACACUAGAACUGAGACACGGUCCAGACUCCUACGGGAGGCAGCAGUGGGGAAUAUUGGACAAUGGGCGCAAGCCUGAUCCAGCCAUACCGCGUGGGUGAAGAAGGCCUUCGGGUUGUAAAGCCCUUUUGUUGGGAAAGAAAAUCAGCAGGUUAAUACCCCGCUGUUCUGACGGUACCCAAAGAAUAAGCACCGGCUAACUUCGUG